UUCUCGGUUGAGGAUGCAUCGAUGGAAGCUAAAGAGUUGGCAGAUGCAGACCGUCGAUUUCAACAACCAUCAUAAUAACUUGGAUUUUGUGCACUAUUUUGUGGGUUGGGGCUAUUUUUGAAAUAUUGAAGAGGAUCUUAAUUUAAUCAGUGGUUGUUCCACCUAUUGUUGUUGCUGCUGGUUGAGAUGGAUGUCCGAGUUUGGAGCUUCGAGAUACAAUUUAGGUGAGCAUUAGGUGAGUCUCUAUCUUGACUCCUGCAUGUGUAUUGUUCCAAUUGAAGUGUAUAUAUGCUAAAAAUAUUCAAAUGACUGAUAAUGGUGUAAAUGAUGUAUGGUAAAAUUUUUGCAUGUGUAAUGAUAAUAUGUAAAAAGUAUGUCUAGAUAGAAAGUAAGUGGUGAUUAUGCAGGUAAAGUUUGAUAAGAAAAACUAUGAAUCAACUAGGUGUGUGACCAAAUCUGGGUAAGUAAAUUCUAGGUAAAACGUCCCUUGUGAUGCCUCUGGUAGGGCAUGUAUACUGCUAACCAGACUAACAGAUCACGGUAUGAAAAUAAGUGCAAGACCAUAUGGUUGAGACCCAUGACAAUGUAUGAUAUGAAAACACUGAUGGUGAUGCCUCCAGUAAGAUAAAUGUUGGACUGGCAGAUCACUACAUGAAAAUGGGUAAGUCCAUGUGGCUGAGACCCAUGGUAAGAUAUGACUGUAUGAAUGUUCAUGGUGAUGCCUUCUGUAAUGUGUAGAUCGAACUAGAAGAUCACGACAUAAAUUUAUUUAUAAGUCCAUUAGAGAGAAACCCAUGGCACCUUCUGUGAAAGUCUACCGGGACAUUAAACACAUGAUUCCAUAUGUUUGCCUAUGUGGCGUGAUCUACUAAGCCUUUGUGGUAAGUUCUGUAUCAUCUUAUUUGUUUAUUCGAUGAUAUCUAUGUGAUAGAAUGUGAUUAUCCGCCCUUGUUGUAAGUUCUGAGAAUUCUUUGAUAGAUAAGUUUAUGAUAAGGUUUUGAUAUGUCUGAAGUUAAAUUUGGUUGAAUUAGUUCUAUGAUGUAAUCGAAUAAGUCUUAAGGGAAGUUUCUUUAAAAGAAGUGUGUAUUUGUAUGUUCAAAUACAAUAUCCACCAUAGUAAUCUAUUAGUUUAGAAUAUGGGCAUAUUUGUAGAUAUGAAAGAGAUAAGUAUUUAUCGGUUUAAGUUCGCCUGCGAUAAAUAGAAUUGAAAUUUGUGUCAAUUGGUAUGUGCCAUACCUAAAUAGCAUCAUGUCUCAAUUUGAAAUCGUAUGAAAUUUGAGUUGUUUUUUUAUCUUGGGUUUUCUUGUGUUUUGUAACAAAGAUGUGUAAAAUUCUUCUCAAUGAUCUGGACAAUUCAUUAUCAGUAUAAGUAUAUGUUGUGUUUGGACUAGGUUAUGAUUUGUUUAGUAUUUGAUAUUAUUGAACUCAGCCUGGGAAUCCAUCAAACAUGAAUCUAUAUAAUAAGUAUUCACCCGUGAACAGUAACUGUGAUAAACUAUUCUGGGAAAAUGUUAAGUGUUAGUUUGAAGACAAAAAUCGUAAGAAAUGAACUUUGUAGAAGUAUUCCUUCGAGAAGUAUCUUUGGGGUUAUAUGAAUAAAAUGAUAGUGGAAUAUUAUCUAGUAAGAUCAGAAAUCAACCAUAAAGUGAAGUGAAAACUGAUACGUUAAGAAUGACUAUUAUGUCCAAAUGUUCUGAAGGUGUCUGCCAAAACAUGAAUGAUAGGUUAAGUAUGGAAAUAGGCGUACAAGCACGCAGAAGAUAUUACAACAGUAUUCGCCAAGGUGUUUUAUAUUAAAGUUCACUAAGUUCUUGUAACUUACAAGUGUUAUGUUUAUGCUUUAGGUGUUAUGGUAAAACUGAAUAUGCUAGGAGGGAUGAUGCCAGGAAUACGCCAAGGAAGUGGUGGUUCGGAUUAUUAUGCAUACAGUGGACUAUUUGGAAAAGUGACAUAUUGUAGGAUUAUGCCAUAGAGAGUCUGUCUUUAGUAAAUUUUUGUGUUGAAAUAAGUUGUAACAAGUCUAAUGUAUUAUUUUAUUUUUAAGUAUUUUCCUUUAUUUCUUUGA